AUGAGUUGGAUGUCCAUAUUGCUUCGUACUGCCUCUACUAGAGUCCUAGUUAAUGGCAUACCAGCUAGACGUAUCUUCCAUGCUCGGGGUUUACGCCAAGUUGACCCCAUCUCGCCGUUGUUGUUCGUCAUCGCGAUGGAUGCCCUCACGGCCAUCUUUGUGCGUGCGGUGGAGGAACAUGUCAUAACCCCAUUCAGAGGCAUCUUGGCCUGUCAAGGACUAUCUAUAUACGCGGACGACGUCGUGAUCUUCAUUCACCAGAAUAGACAAGAUUUGUGGUUUAUAAAGGAAGUGUUGGAUGUCUUUGGAGAAGCCUUUGGGCUGCGAGUGAGCUACAGGAAGACUUCAGGAUCACUUAUCCAUGGCAAUCAAGCGGACAAGGACAAAGUUGCCUCCAUUCUUCACUGUGAUCUGAGUAUGUUCCCAUACAAAUACCUUGGAUUGCAGCUCGCCAUCAACCAACUAACUAGAGCAGCAUGA
rnacentral:rRNA from 1 species